AUGGAAAUUGAUUAUUGUGAAAUGGUUGAGUCCCCAUUCGGCAGGAGGCUGCAGCAAGGACAGUCAGCAUUGUCCAUUCAUCAACGGUCAUCUAGUAUGCCCGAGGUGUCAUCAUCAUCGCCCGGAGCAGUGCUAGAGCAUUUAGAAGAACUAACACUAAAUAUGUGUUAUGGCUUAACGGGGGUCCUCCAUCUCCAUCCGUCCCUCAAGGAGCUAGUAAUUCGUCGCUGCGGUGGGUUGACAUCUCUGGAAUCCCGCUCGGGAGAGCUCCCGUCGCUGAAGCUCCUCAGUCUUUCUGAAUGCCUUACGCUGUCAUCCCUACCGGAUGGGCCAGUAUCAUACUUACUUCUCGAAUAUCUUGGCAUUAGCUACUGCCCUGAUCUGAAGACGCUUCCUGCAAGCCUGCAAAAACUGCUGGGCAGCAUUGAGAGGGAAUAUGUAGAUGCUCAUUAUUAUGGAAAUAAGCCUAUACUGCUGAAACCAAAGACAUGGAAGUAUGCCAACCGUAGAGAUUAG
rnacentral:rRNA from 1 species